UACGUAGGGGGCUAGCGUUGUCCGGAAUCAUUGGGCGUAAAGCGCGUGUAGGCGGCCCGGUAAGUCCGCUGUGAAAGUCCAGGGCUCAACCCUGGGAUGCCGGUGGAUACUGUCGGGCUCGAGUCCGGAAGAGGCGAGUGGAAUUCCUGGUGUAGCGGUGAAAUGCGCAGAUAUCAGGAGGAACACCAAUGGCGAAGGCAGCUCGCUGGGACGUGACUGACGCUGAGACGCGAAAGCGUGGGGAUCAAACAGG
rnacentral:rRNA from 1 species